AGAUACUAUGGUCGAAGUUGUUUACUAGAGUAGAUAAUAGAUAUUGAUACUCUAUGGUUUUGUUCGCGGCGGUUAUGUUAAAUUGUGGGAGGAGGGACGGAAUGUAUGGGCCAUGUGUUGUUACAGGUUGUUCCAGUGCUGGACGUAUUACUCUACUUGGAUUCGGAAAUAUCAUGCUGGCACAGUCGUUAGUCCCAACAACUACUACACUAAGCAUUCAUCUGUGCAGUAAGUGCUUGUGGAGCACCUCAGUCAGAUUUCCUCUUUUCUAUCUACUGGUUGGUAAAUUCUGCCAACCAAGCUUUGCACAGUAUCAAUCUACAUAAAAACUCCUAUUCUGAAAGAUGAAUCUCAAAAGGUACUGAAGACAAGGAAAUGU